AUUGAACGCUGGCGGCAGGCUUAACACAUGCAAGUCGAGCGGGGUGAUGGUGCUUGCACUAUCACUUAGCGGCGGACGGGUGAGUAAUGCUUAGGAAUCUGCCUAUUAGUGGGGGACAACAUCUCGAAAGGGAUGCUAAUACCGCAUACGUCCUACGGGAGAAAGCAGGGGAUCACUUGUGACCUUGCGCUAAUAGAUGAGCCUAAGUCGGAGUAGCUAGUUGGUGGGGUAAAGGCCUACCAAGGCGACGAUCUGUAGCGGGUCUGAGAGGAUGAUCCGCCACACGAGGACUGGGACACGGCCCAGACUCCGACGGGAGGCAGCAGUGGGGAAUAUUGGACAAUGGGGGGAAGCCUGAUCCAGCCAUGCCGCGUGUGUGAAGAAGGCCUUAUGGUUGUAAAGCACUUUAAGCGAGGAGGAGGCUCUUUUGGUUAAUACCCAAGAUGAGUGGACGUUACUCGCAGAAUAAGCACCGGCUAACUCUGUGCCAGCAGCCGCGGUAA
rnacentral:rRNA from 1 species